UCCAGACUCCUACGGGAGGCAGCAGUGAGGAAUAUUGGUCAAUGGCCGAGAGGCUGAACCAGCCAAGUCGCGUGAGGGAAGACGGCCCUACGGGUUGUAAACCUCUUUUGUCGGGGAGCAAAGCGAGUCACGUGUGACUCAUUGAGAGUACCCGAAGAAAAAGCAUCGGCUAACUCCGUGCCAGCAGCCGCGGUAAUACGUAGGGAGCAAGCGUUAUCCGGAAUUAUUGGGUGUAAAGGGUGCGUAGACGGGAGUCUAAGUUAGUUGUGAAAUCCCUCGGCUCAACUGAGGAACUGCAACUAAAACUGGACAUCUUGAGUGCAGGAGAGGAAAGUGGAAUUCCUAGUGUAGCGGUGAAAUGCGUAGAUAUUAGGAGGAACACCAGUGGCGAAGGCGACUUUCUGGACUGUAACUGACGUUGAGGCACGAAAGUGUGGGGAGCAAACAGGAUUAGAUACCCGAGUAAA
rnacentral:rRNA from 1 species